rnacentral:rRNA from 1 species
GAUGAACGCUAGCGGCAGGCCUAAUACAUGCAAGCUGAACGGUAAAUAUUGUAGCAAUACAGUAUGAGAGUAGCGUAAGGGUGCGUAACACGUAUGCAAUCUGCCCUGUACAGGAGGAUAGCUCGGGGAAACCCGGAUUAAUACUCCGUAAUAUUAUUGGGAGGCAUCUCUUGAUAAUUAAAGUCGCAAGACGGUAUGGGAUGAGCAUGCGUCUGAUUAGCUAGUUGGUGGUGUAACGGACCACCAAGGCGAUGAUCAGUAGGGGAACUGAGAGGUUGAUCCCCCACACUGGCACUGAGAUACGGGCCAGACUCCUACGGGAGGCAGCAGUAGGGAAUAUUGGUCAAUGGAUGCAAGUCUGAACCAGCCAUGCCGCGUGCAGGAAGAAGGCCUUCUGGGUUGUAAACUGCUUUUGCCGGGGGAUAAAAAGUCCAUGCGUGGACAAUUGAAGGUACCCGGUGAAUAAGCCACGGCUAACUACGUGCC